rnacentral:rRNA from 1 species
CUUGAACGCUGGCGGCAGGCCUAACACAUGCAAGUCGAGCGGAGCGGCGGACGGGUGAGUAAUGCCUAGGAAUCUGCCUGGUAGUGGGGGAUAACGUCCGGAAACGGGCGCUAAUACCGCAUACUAUCAGAUGAGCCUAGGUAGGAUUAGCUAAUUGGUGGGGUAAAGGCCUACCAAGGCAACGAUCCGUAACUGGUCUGAGAGGAUGAUCAGUAACACGGGAACGGAGACACGGUCAAGACUCGUCAGGGAGGAAGCAGUGGGGAAUAUUGGAAAAUGGGCGAAAGCCUGAUCCAGACAUGCCGGGUGGGUGAAGAAGGUCUUCGGAUUGUAAAGAACUUUAAGAUGGAAGACGUUACCAACAGAAUAAGAACCGGCUAACUUCGUGCCAGCAGCCGCGGUAAUUC